ACUGAACAAUACUGUAUAAGAGAGAACAUGGAGAACAACUUGAGCCCAGGAGUUCUGGGCUGUAGUGGGUUAUCCCAGACAGAUAUCUGCACUAAAUUUGGCAUCUAGUGACCUCCCAGGAGUAGGGGGACCACCAGGUUGCCUAAGAAAGGGUGAACCAGCCCAGGUCAGAAACCAGAACAGGUCAAACUCCACUGAUCAGUAGUGGGAUUGCACCUGUGAAUAGCCACCAUCCUCUAGCCUGGAUAACAGCAAGACCCCAUCUCUU
rnacentral:SRP_RNA from 1 species